CCCACUAUGCACAGAUGUAAUUUACCAUGAAGGAGCUGCUGGCUCCUGGGCGUGAGCGGAGAGCUGCCUUGAACCCACCACAGCAAGUGGCCAUUCUGAGCAAGUCAAGCCUUGAGUUAAAGCCAACCUACUCUUCCUUUGACCUGAGAGAGAAAGUGAAAUCACUGUGAUAGGCAUAGUUAAUGAUCUAUAUAGAUUAGAGAGAAGAAAAAAUACGCUUCUGGGUGUCCUUGGCCUUGCAGUAGGGAAGGCUUGUUGUCCCCUUUCAGGAAGCUGGUGGGAUGGCACAGACACCUGAUAGGGCUCCAUCACACUUGGGGCUCACGUUUGACCCACUGGGGGCUUUCAGGUGUGAGGUGUGAAAUGCAUGGAUUGCAUAAACCUCCUGGGAAAGUCGGAGGCAGGAUGAGGUGGCUCUGCUGACUGUAUGCUGAGGCUCUGCAGGCCAAUCUGUGGGAUUGUGCCCAGGUCCCCCUGCCUCCCUCACAAACACAAUGAUGAUAAAGUUCAGAAUGCCCAGAGUCCUCCCCCAGCAUUGUGACAAAUACGCAUCGUGUUCUCUUUUGGAGAUCGCACUCAGACAGAAUAAUUAGGUGGCAACACAAUUUAUUGCCUGCCACCCUGUAAAGCUCAGGAAGCACUCUUUCAGUUUUCAGCUGGUAUUUAAUCAACAAAUCAUAACUUUUAUUAAGCCUAAAUGCAGUGCUUCUAAGUUACUAAAUUUAAAGUGUGCCUGGAAACCAGGGUCAUUUUUUGUUUGAUUUACAUAUCACAGCAUCAUGCAAACUGGGAAUAGGAUAACGAGGGGCCCAGAUUGCAGCCAUCUCACAGGAGAUGCUUUGGAGGAUUUUUUCCUGCUUUGAGACCUCCAGUACAUUCCCAGCUUCAUUUCCAGCCUCUGCUUGAAAUUCCGAUGCCAUAUCUCAACGGGUACGGCGCUGACAUGGGCGGGGAGAAAAAUGCCCCAUCUCCGAGAUCUGCGCUCCUGAUCCCAGGCUGCGGGACUGAUGGGGUGGGAUUCUGGGCAGCUGUCAGCACCCUGCAUUGGGUUGCUCAUCAGAGCGGCAAGUAUGUCAGAUGUUCACGCUCUUCUGGUGGUUGGCUCAGUGAAACAAAGCAAGAAAACUGAAAACAGCCCAUCCCCCUGCCAAGGCUUUUUCCGGAUGAUUGGGUGCUAGGACAUAUUCCCUGAAAACCAGCUUUGCUUCCUCCCGCUUGAGCUGCAUCCAAAUUAAAAUUUUGUU